rnacentral:rRNA from 1 species
UACGGAGGGUGCAAGCGUUAAUCGGAAUUACUGGGCGUAAAGCGUGCGCAGGCGGUUUGUUAAGUCUGUUGGGAAAUCCCCGAGCUCAACUUGGGAAUUGCAAUGGAUACUGGCAGGCUGGAGUAUGGUAGAGGAAGGUGGAAUUCCCGGUGUAGCAGUGAAAUGCGUAGAGAUCGGGAGGAACACCAGUGGCGAAGGCGGCCUUCUGGACCAAUACUGACGCUCAUGCACGAAAGCGUGGGGAGCAAACAGG